rnacentral:rRNA from 1 species
UACGUAGGGUGCAAGCGUUGUCCGGAAUUAUUGGGCGUAAAGAGCUCGUAGGCGGUCUGUCGCGUCGGCUGUGAAAACCUGGGGCUUAACUCCGGGCCUGCAGCCGAUACGGGCAGACUAGAGUUCGGCAGGGGAGACUGGAAUUCCUGGUGUAGCGGUGAAAUGCGCAGAUAUCAGGAGGAACACCGGUGGCGAAGGCGGGUCUCUGGGCCGGAACUGACGCUGAGGAGCGAAAGCGUGGGGAGCGAACAGG